rnacentral:lncRNA from 1 species
UAGCGAUUUUUUUAUUAAAAAAAUUUCUACGCCACUGGAUUUAGAGUGGCUUCAAAUAGCUAUGACAAAAAUUUCAUUAAAAUAUAUUUAUUAAUAACGAAGUUAUGACAACUUAAAAUUUUAAAACUCACUAAGCUACGAGUCAAAAAAGAACACUCUGUAUCAACAGAUAACCAUAAAACUAAUUAUUUUUCAAAUAAUUUUAAUA